UAACUUUUAUUUAUUAUUUUAAUAUUUAAAAAUAUGAAAUGAUUUAUUUUUUUAGUUUUUUUAAUAUUUUAAUAAUUUUUUAAUAGAAUGUGGGUCUGGAUCAAGCCACAUCAGCAUUUAACUGACAAAUUAACGGCAGGCUAACGGAAGAUAUAACAUUGGUACAAAUUCGUAAGAUGAGGUAUGACAUUGUUAAUUUUAAAAGAUGAGGUAUGAAAGUGUCGUAACAUCAAUAGUUGAGGUAAUUUGUUGUACUUUACCUUAAUUUUUAUCUUUGUAAUCUUACAUAUUUAUUUCCAAUUUUGUAGAUGUCGCAGCUCAUUAGAAGCCAGAAGGCGAUGACAACUACACCUUGUCCGAUGACUACACCUUUUACUGUUGUCAUAAUUGCUGCGGCAGAGAUGGACCAUAGGCCAGUGAAUCCAAUUGACCCAGUUGGUCCCUGAGUCCCACAGACACUGGAGUCUUCGACUUCUUCAGUGACGCUACCUUUUAGCGCCUAACGUGAUCAUUAGUGCCCCCGCACUCCGGAGCAAAUGUCGCCAUCAGGAUCCACAACCAAUGCCUCGAGUUCAUAGCCAGAAAAACACCCGAGGACCUUGUCGGCAAUUGAAGACGGCGAAGGUCACCCGGAUGACCAACAACCAUAUCACAAUCAGAUACGGUGAGCGACAUCGGGCUACACCAACUACGGAGCAGCAUAGCACAUUGGCCUAAGACAUUAGGCAUGUCAUUCGGACCUUUUGUCCUAUGUGGUGGAAGUCUUGGAAGGCAAUACCAGACGAGGUGAAGAACAUGGUGCGCAAUCAUUUAUCGACAAACUACAAUUUUGAUAACAUUUACAAGGACAUGUAGGCGUACCUCAAUCGACUCUUCUCCGAACUGUACAAGCAGUGGAAGAGUGACCUACACUAGUAUUUCGAGAUGCUUGAUGAUCUGCAGGUUGCUCUCGAGGAGGGUUGCCCGAAUGAGUUUGAGGAAUGGGAAGAUAGCUGGGUUUGGCUCUGUGGUCAUUUUCAGGAGCUGGGCUAUGUGGUCCCUUUUUAAAUAUGACUUAUUUCAUUUUACUUUUUGAAAUUUUUACUAAUGUUUAUUAAUUUUUGUAUAUUUUCUUUAAAUAUUACAACUAAUAUGUUUAUUUUGUGUAUAACAGAAGAAGGCGAAGGCAAACAAGAUCAAUCGGGAGAAAAAAGACUAUUCUCCACCAUUCGGGUUCAAGACCCUUCUCAUAUAGGGGGGUUCAAAAUUCCCUAAGAUAGACAUCUUUGCUAACGUUUAUGUUCAGCCCGGGGAUGAGUUGGCCGAGUCCCUUCAUAAGACUAUGGUGGAGAAGAGCCAGUCGGUUAUUCACGAGUCCGCCUCCCAGCUCCCCCCAGCCACGUCGAUCGAAUCUGUGGAUCCCUCCGAGGAUGUGGGUUUCUCAUCCUUACAAAGACCUUGGACCAGACCUUUGGUCGGAGGCUAGGAUGUAUUGCCGGGGGAUAGGGAAUGCCAGGCAACGGGAGAGUGGAGCCUCUUCAUCCUUACAGUCGAAGGGUGAGGUUACAGCUUUGACACAAGAAGUCGUUGGCCUGAGGACUGAGCUUGCAUCGUACAAAACUCAGAUGUCAUUCAUCGUACAUGCCCUAAGUUCCUCCGGGAUCCGUCCCCCCGAUUUUUCUGCACCAUCAACAUCAGAGCCCCUCCACCCUAAACAUACCUAGCAAUUAGAUCUGUCGGCCCCCGACCCCGUCCCUAACCCCAACCCCUUCCACCAAGCACUUCCGAACGACUUGCUCAUAGAUUAUGCUGCAUUUUUUUCUUUUUUCUUUUUUUUCCCGCUUUCUAUUUAAACUUUGUAGUUGUACAUACAUUUUUAUUUAUUUAUAUUAUAAAUAAAUUAUUUUUUUAUUCAUUAAUUUUUUUUUUUCCAAUUGUAUUAAAUAUUUUUUUUAUUAAAUUCUAUUUAUUCUAUCGUGCGAUGAAAGCCUUCGUUUGUACACAUUUCUUGCAACGAGCAAUAAAACGUCGCGCAAUCGUUUUGCCGCACUUUGUUGCGCAAAGUCUUUCUUCACAACCUUUGCGCGACAAUUUCUGCAUCGCCAUAAGUUUUGUGCAACCUGGAAAUGCUUUGCACAACAAAUACUCCC